GAUGAACGCUGGCGGUGUGCCUAAUACAUGCAAGUCGAGCGAACAGACGAGGAGCUUACUCCUCUGACGUUAGCGGCGGACGGGUGAGUAACACGUGGAUAACCUACCUAUAAGACUGGGAUAACUUCGGGAAACCGGAGCUAAUACCGGAUAACAUGUUGAACCGCAUGGUUCAACAGUGAAAGACGGUCUUGCUGUCACUUAUAGAUGGAUCCGCGUCGCAUUAGCUAGUUGGUAAGGUAACGGCUUACCAAGGCAACGAUGCGUAGCCGACCUGAGAGGGUGAUCGGCCACACUGGAACUGAGACACGGUCCAGACUCCUACGGGAGGCAGCAGUAGGGAAUCUUCCGCAAUGGGCGAAAGCCUGACGGAGCAACGCCGCGUGAGUGAAGAAGGUCUUCGGAUCGUAAAACUCUGUUAUUAGGGAAGAACAAAUGUGUAAGUAACUAUGCACGUCUUGACGGCACCUAAUCAGAAAGCCACGGCUAACUACGUG
rnacentral:rRNA from 1 species